GCGGCCGUGGUGCAUGGCGCACAUCUGCAUCGUAUAUCUGGCCUGACGCGAAUCCAAGCAGCUAACUGGGGUUCGAUUCCCCGCGUCCGCA